rnacentral:misc_RNA from 1 species
CAAACCGUGCAUAUUGCCC